GGAGGGAUGGCCGAGUGGUCGAUGGCGCACGCUUGGAGUGCGUGUAAGGGGCUCCCCCCUUCCAGGGUUCGAAUCCCUGUCCCUCCGCCA
rnacentral:tRNA from 1 species